rnacentral:misc_RNA from 1 species
GAUGAAGAACGUAGUGAAAUGCGAUAAGUAGUGUGAAUUGCAGAAUUCAGUGAAUCAUCGAAUCUUUGAACGCACAUUGCGCUUUCUAGUAUUCUGGGAGGCAUGCCUGUUUGAGCGUCAUUAAACCUCUCUCAAGUAUGAUUACUUGGAUGUGAAGGAAGAGUACCUUAAACUUAAGGAGUGUUCUCCUUUGAAAUUGAUUAGCAGAUGGUAAUGUUAUUAAAUCCCUGAUGUUGUAAGAAAUAACAGUGGUUUUGUAGACUAUUAUCUAGCUUUAAAUUAUAAUUUUUAUUAUGGUUGACCUCAAAUCAGGUAAGGAUACCCGCUGAACUUAAGCAUAUCAAUAAGCGGAGGA